rnacentral:rRNA from 1 species
CCUACGGGAGGCAGCAGUGGGGAAUAUUGCACAAUGGGCGCAAGCCUGAUGCAGCGACGCCGCGUGAGGGAUGACGGCCUUCGGGUUGUAAACCUCUGUUAGCAGGGAAGAAGAGAGAUUGACGGUACCUGCAGAGAAAGCGCCGGCUAACUACGUGCCAGCAGCCGCGGUAAUACGUAGGGCGCGAGCGUUGUCCGGAAUUAUUGGGCGUAAAGAGCUUGUAGGCGGUUUGUCGCGUCUGCUGUGAAAGGCCGGAGCUUAACUCCGUGUAUUGCAGUGGGUACGGGCAGACUAGAGUGCAGUAGGGGAGACUGGAAUUCCUGGUGUAGCGGUGGAAUGCGCAGAUAUCAGGAGGAACACCGAUGGCGAAGGCAGGUCUCUGGGCUGUAACUGACGCUGAGAAGCGAAAGCAUGGGGAGCGAACAGGAUUAGAUACCCUU